rnacentral:rRNA from 1 species
AGUGGGGGAUAACGUAGCGAAAGUUACGCUAAUACCGCAUAUGCCCUGAGGGGGAAAGGAGGGGAUCGUAAGACCUUUCGCUUUCGGAGUGGCCGAUAUCAGAUUAGCUAGUUGGUGAGGUAAAGGCUCACCAAGGCGACGAUCUGUAGCGGGUCUGAGAGGAUGACCCGCCACACUGGGACUGAGACACGGCCCAGACUCCUACGGGAGGCAGCAGUGGGGAAUUUUGGACAAUGGGCGCAAGCCUGAUCCAGCCAUGCCGCGUGAGUGAAGAAGGCCUUCGGGUUGUAAAGCUCUUUCAGUCGGAAAGAAAUCAUGCUUACUAAUACUAAGUGUGGAUGACGGUACCGGAAGAAGAAGCACCGGCUAACUACGUGCCAGCAGCCGCGGUAAUACGUAGGGUGCGAGCGUUAAUCGGAAUUACUGGGCGUAAAGCGUGCGCAGGCGGUUUUUUAAGACAGACGUGAAAUCCCCGGGCUUAACCUGGGAACUGCGUUUGUGACUGGAAGGCUAGAGUACGGCAGAGGGGGGUAGAAUUCCA